CGUGCCAUGCCUACCCCCUGCCUCACCGUGCCUUCCGUAUAAAUGAGGAGCUGAAUCUCCUAAAACCUGGAGUCAAAAGAAAUCCAUCUUUCAACAGGGCUAUGAAAGCAUCGUAUGGACCACACAGCAGAGACUAAGUCUUCCCCACAGGAUGGUUCCAGGCCAUGCAGAGAGGUUAAGGAUGAGAAGGGACACAAGGAAUUCUGACUUGUAGUCUCAAUGAGGCCAAAGAAGCUAGACUGCGGAGGAGAAACUAGAAUGCCUCAGGUGUUGGAGACAACAAACUGGAGGCUAAGGAGGCUGAGAAGGGAAAGGCUGGGAAGAGGCCAUUCUCCAUCUGCACACUCAAGACAUGCAACUGGUAAGACGCUAACACUGAACGUGACUCAGCUAAGUGCUUGCUGCGCAAGCUUGAAGAUACCAUGCUAGAGCCCUGGCACCCAUGUGAAGAAAGCUGGGUUCGGCGGUGUGCGCCUAUAACCCCAGCCCUGAGGAAGCGUGUCCCGCAAUUCCAGAGAGUCUAGACAAACUGGUCUCCGAGUGGAAGUGAGUUUAGAAGCUGAGGAUUAAGGAACCAGGUGUCUGAAGAUGCCUCCCCUACCACGUGGUGCAGCAUGAUUUCUGCUCUUUCCGUGGAAGCAUCCUGUUUCUUCCCCUUGCUCUCCUCUUGUGCAUCUUCUCCUCACUCCGACGUAUAGCUACCCAUGUCAUUUACCCUGCACACCCACAGAAGGGAGGUUUUCCACAGUGGGAAACUGAGGCUUGUGGAGGGGUGCAGCUUUCCUAUGAAAAAGCUGGGGCUGUGUGUUACGUAGGAGGUGACAGAGGACUCCCAUGGUUCAUCUGCCCCUUAUAAGCUGCGCUCACAUAUCGGCCGUGCAGUGGUUACAGACCCUCCACCUUAAGGGUAGGGAGCCUCAACACACCUCUAUUUUUCAAGUGAGGACCCAGAGCUUCCAAGGCACACAGUGCUUUCCUAUUGGACCCCUCUGGGGCCAGCUGGAUGGUUUGGGAAAAUGGGGUAAAAUUGCAGACUUGUCUUCUAGCUCAUUUCUCACAGGCUCUGCAAGGAUGGGACAGAAGGAUAGCAAGAUGUGCGGUACCUCCCUUCCCUCUAUUGGACACUGGUUUUAAGAAUUCCCUGAGGGGCUAACCUCUCAUUUCAAUAUGUUAAUGUGUGGAAACUAAUGACAUAUUUAUUGCUUAUGUAGAUGCUAGUUAUUUACAUGGGAAACUGAUUUAUCUAUUAGAUAAUUAGUAAACUUCAAUAAUUGCAAAAACCUUUUAGCAAUCAGUUGACAUUUAAUUAACAUACAAUAACUGUCUUAUUAAAUCUACAUUAAAUGCCUAUUGGAGUUAAUUAAACUCAUACCUAUGACUCCAUGUGCUUUGGGAAUCCUC